rnacentral:rRNA from 1 species
UGGGGAAUUUUGGACAAUGGGCGAAAGCCUGAUCCAGCAAUGCCGCGUGUGUGAAGAAGGCCUUCGGGUUGUAAAGCACUUUUGUCCGGAAAGAAAUCCUUGGCUCUAAUACAGUCGGGGGAUGACGGUACCGGAAGAAUAAGCACCGGCUAACUACGUGCCAGCAGCCGCGGUAAUACGUAGGGUGCAAGCGUUAAUCGGAAUUACUGGGCGUAAAGCGUGCGCAGGCGGUUUGCUAAGACCGAUGUGAAAUCCCCGGGCUCAACCUGGGAACUGCAUUGGUGACUGGCAGGCUAGAGUAUGGCAGAGGGGGGUAGAACUCCACGUGUAGCAGUGAAAUGCGUAGAGAUGUGGAGGAAUACCGAUGGCGAAGGCAGCCCCCUGGGCCAAUACUGACGCUCAUGCACGAAAGCGUGGGGAGCAAACAGGAUUAGAUACCCUGGUAGUCCACGCCCUAAACGAUGUCAACUAGUUGUUGGGGAUUCAUUCCUUAGUAACGUAGCUAACGCGUGAAGUUGACCGCCUGGGGAGUACGGUCGCAAGAUUAAACUCAAGGAAUUGACGGGGUCAUAGCUGUUUCC